rnacentral:rRNA from 1 species
GUACACGCUGUGACUAGCAUAUCAAUAAGCGGAGGAAAAGAAACUAACAAGGAUUCCCCUAGCUAACGGCGAGUGAAGCGGGAAGAGCUCAAAUUUGAAAUCUUAAAGGGUUUCCCUUUACGAAUUGUAGUUUAAAGAAGUGUUUUCUGUUGAGGUUUUGGUAAAAGUUCUUUGGAAUAGGACAUCAUAGAGGGUGAGAAUCCCGUAUUUGACCUUUACUUUCAACUUUGUGAUACACUUUCAAAGAGUCGGAUUGUUUGGGUAAUGCAGUCCAAAAUGGGUGGUAAAUUUCAUCUAAAGCUAAAUAUUGGCGAGAGACCGAUAGCGAACAAGUACCGUGAGGGAAAGAUGAAAAGAACUUUGAAAAGAGAGUUAAACAGUACGUGAAAUUGUCAAAAGGGAAGCGUUUGACAGCCAGUGUUGUUUUUCUGAAAAUCAAUUAAAGAACUGUUUAUGCUAAGUUGUUUAGACUUUAUCAGCUAUCUGUUUAGUUUUGAGCUUUUCUUUAAUGCACUUUUCAGUUAACAAGUCAACAUCAGUUUCUUUUGCUGUAAAAAAGCUUGAGGAAGGUGGCUUGAGAUUCGUCUUAAGUGUUUAUAGCCUCUUGCCUAUGCAGUCGGAGAGAUUGAGGUCUGCAGCGUAGAUCCUUCGGGGCUAAAUGCAUUUGUGCUAAGUUAUAGCAUUUCAUAGACAACUUGUUGACUAUGAUUUGUCUUGUAGCUUACUCGCUUAUGUUAUUUUACCUACGCUUAGGAUGUUGACGAGACUGUCGAUCUC